CCUACGGGUGGCAGCAGUGAGGAAUAUUGGUCAAUGGACGAGAGUCUGAACCAGCCAAGUAGCGUGAAGGAUGACUGCCCUAUGGGUUGUAAACUUCUUUUAUAUGGGAAUAAAAUGUUCCACGUGUGGGUUUUUGUAUGUACCAUAUGAAUAAGGAUAGGCUAACUCCGUGCCAGCAGCCGUGGUAAUACGGAGGGUCCGAGCGUUAUCCGGAUUUAUUGGGUUUAAAGGGAGCGUAGGUGGAUUGUUAAGUCAGUUGUGAAAGUUUGCGGCUCAACCGUAAAAUUGCAGUUGAAACUGGCAGUCUUGAGUACAGUAGAGGUGGGCGGAAUUCGUGGUGUAGCGGUGAAAUGCUUAGAUAUCACGAAGAACUCCGAUUGCGAAGGCAGCUCACUGGACUGCAACUGACACUGAGGCUCGAAAGUGUGGGUAUCAAACAGGAUUAGAUACCCCUGUAGUC
rnacentral:rRNA from 1 species